CUGCUCGGGUCGGGCUGGGUAUCGGUCGGCGGGUGAUGAGUCUCCAUCAUUCUGUAGCUACCCUCAGCUAGCUGAAAAUUGUACCUAAUGCUCAUCACAUCAAAGAAAGAGACAGCAUUCAAUGCAUACAGGUAAUGUAAAGUCUUCUGAAAUAGAGCCAAGUCAUUCAGCAACAAAUACUUUUUUUGUUGCAGUUCAGAUUUCCAUCUCAGCGUUGGUUGGUUUGGUUGUGUAGCAGCAUCUCCUGCAGACAAGGCACUUGUAAGGUUUCUCUUUUAUCUCUGGUGUCUAAUAAAGUCUUAAACGUAAUCUGACUUACUAAGACUUACCCCCCACCUUGUUAAACCCAACACAACCAGCCAGUAGGCUCAGCACUUCUUCGGGAAGGACGGACACAAACACACAUGCCUGCUUGCUACACACAGUGUGCACUUACUAUGUGUACAGUAAUGGCUCUUUUGCUGCUUUUUAAUUAAAGGCUUCAUGCUUUACAGGGAUUUAAACUCAGUGUUGUCCCUUUAACAUUUCUAACUGCCAAUCUGGAAUAGCAUCUGGAAUUCCAGUGCAUUUAAUCCUUGAGGGUAUAUUCUAUGAUGCAUAUGACCAAAAUGUGUGCAUUGAGGGACAAAUGUCCAGUAGCUUUAGGUGACUACGUUUUGCAAACUUCUCUUAAAGAUUUCCUUAAAACACCAAACCAAGCAAACAAACAAAGCCACACAUCAAAAAACCCCCAAACAACCCAUAGAAGAAUAUCUUAGGAGAAUUUUGAGAUAAUCAUAUUGAAAUAUUCAUUUUUUCAUUUAUUCCAGUAAUCUUUACAGAUGUGACCAUCCACCUUGAAAAUGCCAUUGCAAAUUUUCAUUACUAAUAACAGUAUUAAAGCGUUUUGUACUUUUUGAAUGAAGAUUUUUGCAAAUGAUCUUGUGAGAGAAUAUUGACAUUAGUGCACCACAGUUCUACAGACAUGUGAAAAUCACAGUUAAAACACCUACACAAAGUUCUUGUUAAACGCGACAACAGGGUUGUCACCAACAGGGGAGAGGGACGGAAGCUAUCACGAAUGGCAGAAGAAUAAUGGACGAUGGUAAACAUGUACUUGAAAUCUCUUGAUAGGAAGAACAAGAGAUGGAGUUGGAUAAGAAGAGGCGCCACGCCGGUUGUAUCUCUAAGCAACAGGCAAUCAAACAGCCAGAUAAGCAUCUUCAUAAAGUGCAACAGACUCGAAUGCAUGGGUCAUAACUGAAGAAUCACUUCCUGGUUCAGCUUCAGCAGUAAAAAAAUUUAUGACCUACUUAAAAAUCCUGCAAACCUAAAAAUGUAUUUUCCAAUAGAUUUGUUUUCUUUUUUCCAUAAAGAAUGUAAGCCAUUUAGGGCAUGCCUUAGUAAUAGCAGGAAAUGAGAAUACUUACAGUAGUGGACGAUAACACAAAAAAUGCAAUGUCGCACAUGAACUGUAUUUACAAUAAAACCUUUUGAUUCAGA